UACGUAGGGUGCAAGGCGUUGUCCGGAAUUACUGGGCGUAAAGGGCUCGUAGGCGGCCAACUAAGUCGGACGUGAAAUCCCCAGGCUCAACCCAGGAACUGCGUCCGAUACGGCAGGCUUGAAUCCGGGAGAGGGAUGUGGAAUUCCAGGUGUAGCGGUGAAAUGCGUAGAUAUCUGGAGGAACACCGGUGGCGAAGGCGGGUUGCUGGGCUGACACUGACGCUGAGGCGCGAAAGCCAGGGGAGCAAACAGG
rnacentral:rRNA from 1 species